rnacentral:rRNA from 1 species
AUCUUCCGCACUGGACGAAAGUCUGACGGAGCAACGCAGCGGGAGUGAUGAAGGGUUUNGGCUCGNANAACUCCGUUGUUAAGGANGAAUACUUGAGGUAGUAACUGGCCUUGAGAUGACGGUACUGAACCAGAAAGCCACGGCUAACUACGUGCCAGCAGCCGCGGACAUACGUAGGUGGCAAGCGUUAUCCGGAAUCAUUGGGCGUAAAGCGCGCUUUGGCGGUAAAAUAAGUCUGAUGUGAAAGCCCCCGGCUCAACCGGGGAGGGUCAUUGGAAGCUGUUUUACUUGAGUACAGAAGAGGAGAGUGGAAUUCCAUGUGUAGCGGUGAAAUGCGCAGAGAUAUGGAGGAACACCAGUGGCGAAGGCGGCUCUCUGGUCUGUUACUGACGCUGAGGUGCGAAAGCGUGGGGAUCAAAC